rnacentral:rRNA from 1 species
UCUAAUACCGGAUAUCACUUCCRCAGGCAUCUGCGGGAGUCGAAAGCUCCGGCGGUGAAGGAUGAGCCCGCGGCCUAUCAGCUUGUUGGUGAGGUAAUGGCUCACCAAGGCGACGACGGGUAGCCGGCCUGAGAGGGCGACCGGCCACACUGGGACUGAGACACGGCCCAGACUCCUACGGGAGGCAGCAGUGGGGAAUAUUGCACAAUGGGCGAAAGCCUGAUGCAGCGACGCCGCGUGAGGGAUGACGGCCUUCGGGUUGUAAACCUCUUUCAGCAGGGAAGAAGCGAAAGUGACGGUACCUGCAGAAGAAGCGCCGGCUAACUACGUGCCAGCAGCCGCGGUAAUACGUAGGGCGCAAGCGUUGUCCGGAAUUAUUGGGCGUAAAGAGCUCGUAGGCGGCUUGUCACGUCGGGUGUGAAAGCCCGGGGCUUAACCCCGGGUCUGCAUUCGAUACGGGCAGGCUAGAGUGUGGUAGGGGAGAUCGGAAUUCCUGGUGUAGCGGUGAAAUGCGCAGAUAUCAGGAGGAACACCGGUGGCGAAGGCGGAUCUCUGGGCCAUCACUGACGCUGAGGAGCGAAAGCGUGGGGAGCGAACAGGAUUAGAUACCCUGGUAGUCCACGCCGUAAACGGUGGGAACUAGGUGUUGGCGACAUUCCACGUCGUCGGUGCCGCAGCUAACGCAUUAAGUUCCCCGCCUGGGGAGUA